UACGAGGGAGGGGCACGUUAUUCGGAAUUAUUGGGCGUAAAGGGCGCGUAGGCGGCUUCGCAAGUGGAAGGUGAAAUCCCUCGGCUUUAACCGAGGAACUGCCCUCCAAACUGCGUUGGCUUGAGCCGGGAGAGGUGAGUGGAAUUCCCAGUGUAGCGGUGAAAUGCGUAGAUAUUGGGAGGAACACCAGUGGCGAAGGCGGCUCACUGGACCGGUACUGACGCUGAGGCGCGAAAGCGUGGGGAUCAAACAGGG
rnacentral:rRNA from 1 species